GGAAAUAUCAAAACAUUCCUGUGUUCAUGAGUUAUUCAUAUUUUGGAUUUUUGGCUGCAUGUGUUCUGGCAUUGAUGCAUGCAAACUGAAGAUUCCGCAAGAAAACUAUGAACGGAAUUGGCAAAUAUACUGGUUACUCUUGUUUCAAUUGGGAAGCGUGCAAAUUAUUUGGUUCUUUGGAGUGUCUAAUUCGUAGUUUCCUUUUGCGAAACAAUAACAGCUACAGACUGCCUACAGUUGACUUCCACAGAAGCUGCAAACAGGUUGGAAUUGAGGUAGAGCGUGUCGGAGAAUGGGUCUGCUAGCUCAGAUGGAGAAGC